UACCAGCACCCCGAGUGGUCGGGACGUUUAUUGGGCCUAAAGCAUCCGUAGCCGGUUCUACAAGUCUUCCGUUAAAUCCACCUGCUUAACAGAUGGGCUGCGGAAGAUACUAUAGAGCUAGGAGGCGGGAGAGGCAAGCGGUACUCGAUGGGUAGGGGUAAAAUCCGUUGAUCCAUUGAAGACCACCAGUGGCGAAGGCGGCUUGCCAGAACGCGCUCGACGGCGAGGGAUGAAAGCUGGGGAAGCAAACCGG
rnacentral:rRNA from 1 species